rnacentral:rRNA from 1 species
GAUGAACGCUAGCUACAGGCUUAACACAUGCAAGUCGAGGGGCAGCAUUUUUAUAGCAAUAUAAAAGAUGGCGACCGGCGCACGGGUGAGUAACACGUAUCCAACCUGCCGAUAACUCGGGGGAUAACCCUUCGAAAGAAGGACCUAAUACCCGAUGGCAUAUCCCUUCCGCCUGGUUGGGAUAUUAAAGAACUUCGGUUAUCGAUGGGGAUAGCGUUUCCAUUAGCUUGUUGGCGGGGUAACGGCCCACCAAGGCUUCGAUGGAUAGGGGUUCUGGAGA